GGGGUUAUGGGCCAACUUGGUAAGCUUCGAGCUUUGGGAGUUCGCGAUCUGGGUUCAAAUCCCAGUAACCCCA
rnacentral:tRNA from 1 species